GACGAACGCUGGCGGCGUGCUUAACACAUGCUAGUCGAACGGAAAGGCCCUGCUGUUGUGGGGUGCUCGAGUGGCGAACGGGUGAGUAACACGUGAGUAACCUGCCCUUGACUUUGGGGUAACUUCAGGAAACUGGGGUUAAUACCGGAUAGGAGCUCCUGCUGCAUGGUGGGGGUUGGUAAGUUUCGGCGUUUGGGGAUGGACUCGAGGCUUCUCAGCUUGUUGGUGGGGUAGUGGCUUACCAAGGCUUUGAGGGGUAGCCGGCCUGAGAGGGUGACCGGCCACAUUGGGACUGAGAUACGGCCCAGACUCCAACGGGAGGCAGCAGUGGGAAAUAUUGCACAAUGGGCAGAAGCCUGCUGCAACAACGCCGCGUGCGGGAUGACGGCCUUCGGGUUGUAAACCCCUUUCGCCUGUGACGAAGAGUGAGUGACGGUAAUGGGUAAAGAAGCACCGGCUAACUACGUG
rnacentral:rRNA from 1 species